CCUUUAGCAGGGAGACCAGAAUUGAAUGCAGUAUUCCAAAAGUGGCCUAAUCAAUGUCCUGUACAGUCUCGAUAUGACCUCCCAACUCCACGUACAAAACUGUCUACCCGAGACUCCACUUUUAAGGAACUAUGAUCCUGCAUCCCAAGGUGUCAUUGUAUGGCAACACUCCCCAGGACCCUACCAUUAAGUAUAUAAGUCUGCCCUGAUUUUCUUUGUCUUUAAUGUUGGAGAAGUGGUCAGGUUGGAAACAGGGAUUGUGAUGAAUAAAACAACGAGCUUAUAAAGGAUCUGGGUCAGCAUCACACAGUGCUCAAGGUGAAAGACAGAAUUUGUGGUUUGAAAACAGAGAUUGUCAGAAGAAGUGGUGAUAAUGGCUUAGUUUCUCCUCAAAUUCCAAUUUCCCAAAGCUUAAUGGGUGAAAAUGUCUUCUCAUACAGUACUGUUUGGAGCACAGCAGUGUGACAAAUCAGACACAGUGCAAGGAAGAACAUACCAAGAAAGUGUUGUGUUAGGUUUCUUCAGUGAUCUAUUUCCUUAUGUAAGUAGCUCAGCACUUAGAUUUGUGAUUGGUCAGAGAGUUGGUUUGUCAGACUGAUUCCUGGAUACCAAGGGCAAGGAGAGAGUACACAAUUAGGAUUGUAUUUCCUGCAAUUUAGAAGGUUCAGCAGCAGUUUAUUCAAAGUUUUAACAUAUGAGGGGGAACAGGCAUGGUAGGUGGAGAAACUAUUUCCUUUGGUUUGGGAAAUUCAGGAUUAGGACCAUGGACUCAAAAAUCCGAUAGAAGCCUUUCAGAAGGCGAAACCAGGAAGCACAUCCACACACAAUGGGUGGGAGAACUUUAAAACUUUCUACCACAAAUGUUAAUUGUUAGUUUUUAAAAUUGUUAACAAAAGAUAUUGGGCAAACUGGAGGGGACAGAGAAUGAUCCAUAUGUCCAAUCACAGUCAGCCAUGAUGAGUUUGAAUGGGAGAACAGCUUCAAGGGCUGAAUUGCUAUUGACGCCAGACAGGAAUGUGUAUUUAAGGUCACAUUCAGAUCAGCAAUGAUAUUAUUGAAUAGCAGAACAGGAUCAAUGGAUUGAAUGGCCUACUCAUGCAUGAUAUAAACUGGGCCUCUUAAUAUAAUUAACACUUUCCUACAAGUCCAUUACUGACAAGAUGUCUGUUAAAAAGAUCAUAUUUGUUGCCAUUACCUUACAGUAGGCUUAUGGUCUGGUUUCACAAGAUUCUUUGUGACAUUGCUUGGCACUGUAUUGCUAAGAUACGCUAUAUAACUCAACAAUUCAUCACUUUAAAGGAGGGAUCUGCUAUUAAAUAAAAUGAAAACCCAGGACAUCAGAAAACUUGGCACAAGACAUUUGUGAAAAUAGCGCUGCUUAGGCUGUUAGUGACUUCAAGGGUAUGUGCAACUCUUUCAGGCCAUUGAUACAAAAGAAAAAUGCCCAGAUAUGAACAAUAUCCAGUAAUUGUCUAGUUAGGUCAUUUUAUUAUAGGUCUCAGAUAUGAAAUUAUUGAUUUCAGCCUGUGCCCUACUGAAGAAAGUACUGCGAAUAUUUAUUCUUUGAUUUAUCUGAGGGCUGAAGGAGGAUAUUUGGAAAACAUUUUAUUAAAAUUCUAAUUCUGGUAUUGAAUUGUCUCUGGAAGACCUGGAUAGAUGUCAUGUUUAAUAGAAAUGUAGCCUGGCUCUCCAAAUUAGACACGAGAGUUUUCCGAAUGUAAAAUGAAAUGGAAACAGCUGCUGAAAGAAACAUAUUAGAACAGCAAUGAAGAAUGACUCAGAUAACUGACUUAUAUUUUUAGCAAAACUGCUGAAGCUUCCAGAUUAAAUUGAAGAGCAAAUAUUGAAGGGGCCAGAAUAUACAAAGGUUAUGACAACGCCUCGCAGAUGUAGCAGCAGAAGUCAGAGAUGAAAGGAUGGCAAGCUUUUGAAUUUGAUGUCCUUUCACUUGGUCCUGCACAGGGAAGUGCAGAGAUCAUUCUCCCAUCUACCUUUACCUCUCAUCAUAGGGAGAUCUGGUAUCAGCUGAGUUCAGAUAUACCUGGCAUACAAAAACUGAGAGUGAAACAUAAACAAGGCACUCAGAGUCUUGUUGAAGGACUCUGUUAUGUUAGAUAUUUAAAGCUCCUUCUAUAAUGAUUUAAGUGUCAUGCUAAUAUUGCUGGUUAGUGCAGCUGGUAGAAAGAUUACUAGAUUCGCUAGGGCUGACAACUGGGAAGACUCGCUCCAGCUUUAGCCUGGGGAUUGCUCAAUACAAAGGUAGUUUUUGUUGAGCUUUACAUUUUAAUCCAGUGCACAGGAUGCACAGUGCAGCACAGAAUGAACUAACAUUCUCACUCUUCUGCCCAUUGAGGAAAUUUAUCAUUCUAAGCGGAAGGCACAGGUGGCCCAGAUGAACCCAAACGAUGCCGACUCCAAAACCUGCCCUCGGGGCUCGGGCCGACCCCCGUCACUGGGAACUCACACCGGAAUUUUCCGUGGAUUUCACUUGCUUGCACUGGAAGGCAACAUUUGUCAUGAAGCAAGAGAGAAAGCAGCAGUGGGUUUUUGAGAAACUUUGUUUUCAAGGAAUGUAGGCCUCCCCAUCAAGGUCAGUGUUUGCUGCUCCUACCCUAAGUGCCCUUGAAUUGAGUGAUUUACUGGGCCAUUUCAGAGGACAGUAUGAGCCAACCACAUCGCAGCGAGCCUGGAGUCACAUACGGGCCAGAUCAGGUAAGGGUGGGGAAUUUCCAACCCCAAAACGCGAUGAGCAAACGAAAUGGCUUUUUACAACAAUUGAUAGUUCCUUGGCCAUUAUUGAACCAUAGUCACACCAAAGCUCUGUUGGGGACCUUGGGCCUUGGGCUGCGAUGUUAGCUCGGGUGAGUGUGCUUGCUCAGCAAGAAGAUUUCACACCAUCACCCGCCUGAAGACCAGGCAAUUUUAUCUUCGAAACUUUUAUCUGAUCAGGAUGGGAAACAGAUGGUCUCCUCACUUCUUUUCUGAAAUUCUGUGAAGGUCCCUUUAAAGGCCGAAUUAAAGGAUCCUUUUAAAGCAAUGCUACGUUUCCUGAAGCGCGGCUUCUUUUCCUAAAAAUUUGGACCCAAUUCCAGUUGAACCGAUGGUCAUCAGCUAGGCUCACACAUUCCUGAAUGUCGUCAUGGAGGACAGCUCCGCGGCUCUCAGUUAGAACCGGAGAACCGGGGAGGCUGAUGGUGGGAGGGAAUGUUCUCGAUGGGGCAGGUUAAAGUGGUCCCCUUAUGGUCUGAAGGGACAACUCCAUCUCCACCUUGACCUACAAGAAAAGUUUAAAUUCUUUCUUCUUGAGUCCAUUUGCUUCUUCUCACCAGAUUGACUUGAUAGGUGAAGCCAGAAUGGCUGCCCUCUAAAUCAGGCCUUUAAGGAAACUCCAAGCCCGUCCAUUAUAUUCGUUAAAAAAAAUUUGGAUAAGUACGUGAAUUAAAAACAGGUUUGGAGGGAUAUGGGCCAAAUGCAGCCACGUGGGAUGAGUUUAGUUUGGGAUUAUGGUCGGCAUGGGCUGGUUGGACCGAAGGGUCUGUUUCCAUGUUGUAUGACUCUAUGACUCAAUGACCCCAAGAUAUGUGCUGAAACUCCGGUUAAAAUCAGACUCUAAGGAAACCGGCCUUGCAAACAGGAUUAAAAUUGCCUCUAAUCGGACAUUAGAUCAGGUAGCACAGACUGGGAGGGGAGAAAAAAUUGGCAAGCAACAAAAGAAGAGAUUUUUGCAGGGCAUAAACAAAAAAUAACUCACAUUAGACCUUUCAUUCUAAACAUGAGAUCUUUGUUUCAGAGAACACAAAGCUCAAAUGAUUUACUGAGUGUACAGUAAUAAAUUUUGUUGUCCUCCCACAGGAAAUUAUGUACCGACUGCACAAGUUUGGACAAGAAAGUUGUGAUUGAAAUAAUACUGAUAUAAGUAACAGAUGCCAAUAACAACCAAACUCAAACAAAACCUCGAUCAAGAAUAUCGGCUCCCUGGGGAGGUUGUUAGAGAGCGUAUGGAUGAUCCCGUGAACCGUGAGAGUGAAAAAUGGAACUUGGGUUCAAAUCCCAACUCAGCAGACUGUGGAAUUUGAAUUCAAU